CUUCAGCGAACCCAGCCACAGCGGCUCCUCCGCGUCACGACCCUGCCCGUACGUGGCCAGGAGCGCCUGCGCCUC
rnacentral:antisense_RNA from 1 species